rnacentral:rRNA from 1 species
ACUCCUACGGGAGGCAGCAGUGGGGAAUCUUGCGCAAUGGGCGAAAGCCUGACGCAGCCAUGCCGCGUGUAUGAUGAAGGUCUUAGGAUUGUAAAAUACUUUCACCGGGGAAGAUAAUGACGGUACCCGGAGAAGAAGCCCCGGCUAACUUCGUGCCAGCAGCCGCGGUAAUACGAAGGGGGCUAGCGUUGCUCGGAAUUACUGGGGCGUAAAGGGGCGCGUAGGCGGACAGUUAAGUCAGAGGUGAAAGCCCAGGGCUCAACCUUGGAAUUGCCUUUGAUACUGGCUGUCUUGAGUUCGGGAGAGGUGAGUGGAAUGCCGAGUGUAGAGGUGAAAUUCGUAGAUAUUCGGCGGAACACCAGUGGCGAAGGCGACUCACUGGCCCGAUACUGACGCUGAGGCGCGAAAGCGUGGGGAGCAAACAGGAUUAGAUACCCUGGUAAGACAGG